UUUGUGUAGGAUAGGUGGGAGACUGUGAAGUGGUCACGCUAGUGGUUGUGGAGUCGAAAGUUGAAAUACCACUCUGAUCGGAUUGAGCACCUUAACCUUGGCCCAUGAUCUGGGUUGGGGACAGUGCUUGGUGGGUAGUUUAACUGGGGCGGUUGCCUCCUAAAAUGUAACGGAGGCGCCCAAAGGUUCCCUCAGCCUGGUUGGCAAUCAGGUGGUGAGUGUAAGUGCACAAGGGAGCUUGACUGUGAGACUGAC
rnacentral:rRNA from 1 species